GAAAGUUCCCAACUCUUGUUAGCCACCAAGAGUCUUUGGAAGCCAAAGUGAACGAGACAAAGGCAACAGUGAAGUUCCAGCUCAAGAAGGUUCUUUGCAUGGGUGUCGCCGUUGGGAACCUUGACAUGGAGGAGAAGCAGAUCUUUCAGAAUGUUCAGAUGAGCGUCAACUUCCUCGUCUCACUAUUGAAGAAGAACUGGCAAAACGUGAGGUGUUUGUACUUGAAGAGCACAAUGGGUCCACCUAACCGUGUGUUCUAAGAUUAUUAUUAUCUCAAAGUUUCUCUUAAUGUAUCAUCAAAGGCUGAGAUUAGAUUUGAUUUUCAUUUCUGUCGUGAGCUUUCUUCUUUUUGGUUUACUUCCAGAAUCCUUACUUGGUAGGAUCAAGAUUUUCUUAAAUGACAAUUUUGUUUCUAUUA